UACAGAGGGUGCAAACGUUGUUCGGAAUUACUGGGCGUAAAGCGCGUGUAGGCGGUCCGGUAAGUCCGCUGUGAAAGUCGGGGGCUCAACCCUCGAAUGCCGGUGGAUACUGUCGGGCUAGAGUGCGGAAGAGGCGAGUGGAAUUCCUGGUGUAGCGGUGAAAUGCGCAGAUAUCAGGAGGAACACCGAUUGCGAAGGCAGCUCGCUGGGACGUUACUGACGCUGAGACGCGAAAGCGUGGGGAGCAAACAGG
rnacentral:rRNA from 1 species